UAGCAGUGGGGAAUAUUGCACAAUGGAGGGAACUCUGAUGCAGCGACGCCGCGUGAGUGAAGAAGGUCUUCGGAUCGUAAAACUCUGUCCUUGGUGAAGAAAAGGACGGUAGCCAAGGAGGAAGCCCCGGCUAACUACGUGCCAGCAGCCGCGGUAAUACGUAGGGGGCGAGCGUUGUCCGGAUUUACUGGGCGUAAAGGGUGGGUAGGCGGUAAUAUAUGUCAGGUGUAAAAGAUCAUGGCUUAACCAUGGUUAGCACUUGAAACUGUAUGACUUGAGUGCAGGAGAGGUAAGCGGAAUUCCUAGUGUAGCGGUGAAAUGCGUAGAUAUUAGGAGGAACACCAGUGGCGAAGGCGGCUUACUGGACUGUAACUGACGCUGAGUCAUGAAAGCGUGGGUAGCAAACAGGAUUAGAUACCCUGGUAGUCCACGCUGUAAACGAUGAGUGCUAGGUGUUGGGUAGCGAUAUUCAGUGCCGUAGUAAACACAAUAAGCACUCCGCCUGGGGAGUACGUACGCAAGUAUAAAACUCAAAGGAAUUGACGG
rnacentral:rRNA from 1 species